CAGUCGUACGCUUCUUUUUCCCCGGAGCUUGCUCCACCGGAAAAAGAAGAGUGGCGAACGGGUGAGUAACACGUGGGUAACCUGCCCAUCAGAAGGGGAUAACACUUGGAAACAGGUGCUAAUACCGUAUAACAAUCGAAACCGCAUGGUUUUGAUUUGAAAGGCGCUUUCGGGUGUCGCUGAUGGAUGGACCCGCGGUGCAUUAGCUAGUUGGUGAGGUAACGGCUCACCAAGGCCACGAUGCAUAGCCGACCUGAGAGGGUGAUCGGCCACAUUGGGACUGAGACACGGCCCAAACUCCUACGGGAGGCAGCAGUAGGGAAUCUUCGGCAAUGGACGAAAGUCUGACCGAGCAACGCCGCGUGAGUGAAGAAGGUUUUCGGAUCGUAAAACUCUGUUGUUAGAGAAGAACAAGGAUGAGAGUAACUGUUCAUCCCUUGACGGUAUCUAACCAGAAAGCCACGGCUAACUACGUGCCAGCAGCCGCGGUAAUACGUAGGUGGCAAGCGUUGUCCGGAUUUAUUGGGCGUAAAGCGAGCGCAGGCGGUUUCUUAAGUCUGAUGUGAAAGCCCCCGGCUCAACCGGGGAGGGUCAUUGGAAACUGGGAGACUUGAGUGCAGAAGAGGAGAGUGGAAUUCCAUGUGUAGCGGUGAAAUGCGUAGAUAUAUGGAGGAACACCAGUGGCGAAGGCGGCUCUCUGGUCUGUAACUGACGCUGAGGCUCGAAAGCGUGGGGAGCAAACAGGAUUAGAUACCCUGGUAGUCCACGCCGUAAACGAUGAGUGCUAAGUGUUGGAGGGUUUCCGCCCUUCAGUGCUGCAGCUAACGCAUUAAGCACUCCGCCUGGGGAGUACGACCGCAAGGUUGAAACUCAAAGGAAUUGACGGGGGCCCGCACAAGCGGUGGAGCAUGUGGUUUAAUUCGAAGCAACGCGAAGAACCUUACCAGGUCUUGACAUCCUUUGACCACUCUAGAGAUAGAGCUUCCCCUUCGGGGGCAAAGUGACAGGUGGUGCAUGGUUGUCGUCAGCUCGUGUCGUGAGAUGUUGGGUUAAGUCCCGCAACGAGCGCAACCCUUAUUGUUAGUUGCCAUCAUUCAGUUGGGCACUCUAGCAAGACUGCCGGUGACAAACCGGAGGAAGGUGGGGAUGACGUCAAAUCAUCAUGCCCCUUAUGACCUGGGCUACACACGUGCUACAAUGGGAAGUACAACGAGUCGCGAAGUCGCGAGGCUAAGCUAAUCUCUUAAAGCUUCUCUCAGUUCGGAUUGUAGGCUGCAACUCGCCUACAUGAAGCCGGAAUCGCUAGUAAUCGCGGAUCAGCACGCCGCGGUGAAUACGUUCCCGGGCCUUGUACACACCGCCCGUCACACCACGAGAGUUUUAACACCCGAAGUCGGUGAGGUAACCUUUGAGCCAC
rnacentral:rRNA from 1 species